UGACGAGUGGCGGACGUUUGAGUAAUGUCUGGGAAACUGCCUGAUGGAGGGGGAUAACUACUGGAAACGGUAGCUAAUACCGCAUAACGUCGCAAGACCAAAGAGGGGGACCUUCGGGCCUCUUGCCAUCAGAUGUGCCCAGAUGGGAUUAUCUUGUAGGUGGGGUAACGGCUCACCUAGGCGACGAUCCCUAGCUGGUCUGAGAGGAUGACCAGCCACACUGGAACUGAGACACGGUCCACACUCCUACGGGAGGCAGCAGUGGGGAAUAUUGCACAGUGGGCGCAAGCCUGAUGCACCCAUGCCGCGUGUAUGAAGAACGCCUUCGGGUUGUAAAGUACUUUCAGCGGGGAGGAAGGGAGUAAAGUUAAUACCUUUGCUCAUUGACGUUACCCGCAAAAAACGCACCGGCUAACUCCGUGCCAGCAGCCGCGGUAAUACGGAGGGUGCAAGCGUUACUCGGAAUUACUGGGCGUAAGGCGCACGCAGGCUGUUUGUUAAGUCAGAUGUGAACUCCCCGGGCUCACCCUGGGAACUGCAUCUGAUACUGGCAAGCUUGACUCUCGUAGAGGGGGGUAGAAUUCCAGGUGUAGCGGUGAAAUGCAUAGAUAUCUGGAAGAAUACCGGUGGCGAACGCCCCCCGUGGACGAACACUGACGCUCAUGUGCAAAAGCGUGGGGAGCAAACAAGAUUACAUACCCUGGUACUCCACGCCAUACACGAUGUCGACUUGGCCGUUGUGCCCUUGAGGCGUGUCUUCCAGAUCUAACGCGUUAACUCCACCGCCUGGGGGAGUACACCCGCAAGGUUAAAAACUCAGAUGAAUUUGACGGGCGCCCCGCACAAGCGGUGGGAGCGUGUUGUUUUAUUUCGAUGCCACCCCAAAAAACCUUACCGGGUUCUUGACCUCCUUGGGAUUUUUUCAAAAAAUGAAAAUGGUGCCUUUCGGGAAACCGUGAAAACGGGUGCCUGCAUGGCUUUUCCUCCUCCUCCGUGUUGCCAAAUGUUGGGGUUGGCCUCCGGAAACGGCCGGCAACCCUUUUUUCUUUUGGUGGCCGGCCGGUCCGGGCCGGGAAACCCAAAGGAAAACUGCCCAUGGAAAAACCGGGGAGGAAGGGGGGGAAA
rnacentral:rRNA from 1 species